UACGUAGGGGGGCAAGCGUUGUCCGGAUUUAUUGGGCGUAAAGAGCGUGUAGGCGGUCCGGUAAGUCCGCUGUGAAAGUCGGGGGCUUAACCCUCGGAUGCCGGUGGAUACUGUCGGGCUUGAGUACGGAAGAGGCGAGUGGAAUUCCUGGUGUAGCGGUGAAAUGCGCAGAUAUCAGGAGGAACACCAAUUGCGAAGGCAGCUCGCUGGGACGUGACUGACGCUGAGACGCGAAAGCGUGGGGAGCAAACAGG
rnacentral:rRNA from 1 species